GACGGGGGGGGCAAGUGUUCUUCGGAAUGACUGGGCGUAAAGGGCACGUAGGCGGUGAAUCGGGUUGAAAGUGAAAGUCGCCAAAAAGUGGCGGAAUGCUCUCGAAACCAAUUCACUUGAGUGAGACAGAGGAGAGUGGAAUUUCGUGUGUAGGGGUGAAAUCCGUAAAUAUACGAAGGAACGCCAAAAGCGAAGGCAGCUCUCUGGGUCC
rnacentral:rRNA from 1 species